rnacentral:rRNA from 1 species
GACGAACCGAGCGAACGUUGUUCGGAAUCACUGGGCUUAAAGGGCGCGUAGGCGGGCUGUCAAGUCUGGGGUGAAAUCCCGCGGCUCAACCGUGGAACUGCCUCAGAUACUGACGGCCUCGAGGGAGAUAGGGGCGAGCGGAACGGAUGGUGGAGCGGUGAAAUGCGUUGAUAUCAUCCGGAACUCCGGUGGCGAAGGCGGCUCGCUGGAUCUCUUCUGACGCUGAGGCGCGAAAGCUAGGGGAGCAAAC